AACGAACGCUGGCGGCAUGCCUAACACAUGCAAGUCGAACGAGACCUUCGGGUCUAGGGGCGCACGGGGGCGUAACGCGUGGGAACCUGCCCUUAGGUUCGGAAUAACUCCCCGAAAGGGGUGCUAAUACCGGAUAAUGUCAUCGGGCCAAGGAUUUAUCGCCUUUGGAUGGGCGCGCGUUGGAUUAGCUGGUUGGGAGGGUACAAGCCUACCAAGGCCUCGAUGCAUAGCUGGUCUGAGAGGAUGGUCAGCCACGCUGGGAGUGAGACACGGCCCAGACUCCUACGGGAGGAAGGAGGAGGGAUUAUUGGAGGGUGGGCGAAUGCUGGAGCCAGCCCGGCCGCGUGAUGGAGGCAGUCGUGAUGGUUGUAACGUUCGUUUGUGCGGGAUGGUAAUGACCGUACCGGGAGAAUGAGCCCCCGCUAACUUCGUG
rnacentral:rRNA from 1 species